CUUAAGGUCCCAAGUUCGAAUCGCUGCGGCGACGAUUAAAUUGUGGACCGGAGCUCACUACUUUGGCCACUGCUUGGACUUGAGGUAUAGGACCGCUCUUGAACCGCUAGUAGCCGGGGUGGUGCCGGGUGUGACGUACUCACACUUGGGACUCGAGUCAGAGCCCAGAGGGGUAGCUGAGCCGGGCCCAUGGGUGGGGAGG
rnacentral:lncRNA from 1 species